rnacentral:rRNA from 1 species
CACGUAGUUAGCCGUGACUUUCUGGCGGGGCACCAUCAGUCAGCACCCAUUUCCUGAUGCUGUCCCUUUUUUCCCCCGCAACAGAGCUUUACGACCCGAAGGCCUUCUUCACUCACGCGGCAUCGCUCGUUCAGGCUUGCGCCCAUUGACGAAAAUUCCCUACUGCUGCCUCCCGCAGGAGUCUGGGCCGUGUCUCAGUCCCAAUGUGGCCGUCCGCCCUCUCAGGCCGGCUAUGCAUCAUCGUCUUGGUGGGCCUUUACCCCGCCAACCAACUAAUGCACCGCAGGUCCAUCCGCGCCCCAUCCCCUAAAGGAUGUUUCACAGAAAGAAGAUGCCUCUUCCUGUACAUCGGGAUUUGUUCUCCGUUUCCAGAGCGUACUUCCCGGUGCGCGGGCACGGUUCCCUACGUGUUACUCACCCGUUUCGCCACUAGAGACCCGAAGGUCUCUCGUUCGACUUGCAUGUAUUUAGCAUCGCCGCCAGUCCGUUCACUCCUGACGCCACGGGAUACGUAAA